UCCGCAACGUUGAGGAAUAUCCUGUCCUCGCCGAUUAAGUUUGCGAAACCCGACGAGUGGAGCUUGUCGAUGACCACUGGUCCAGGGUUCGCCAGGACAAGCUGUGCAAAUACAGAAACAGAAAGAAGUUCCAGACUCUUAUACAGCUCUUCCAAGGCAUGGAUGCCACUGGUGUCGAUGUCGGUUACAGCUGGGGUUUAGGGAAAAAAAAAAACAUAUUAAAAUCGAUGCACAUAGACAUGGCAAGAUGCGAUGCGAUUCUUUCACUGGAGUAAGGGAUAUUGAGAAAUUGAACUGAAGAGCACUUACGUGACAUUUCGGCUAGCAAGAACUUUAUUUGCGGUAGAUAAUCUGCUUUUAGUUGUUCCUCCUCAUCUCUCAACCACCUCAGUAUCCUGGAAAACUAUUUAAGCUUAGCAAGAAUUUAUUGGAACGUUGUGCUAGGACAAACAUUCUGUUUCCCUCAUAUGAUAUUUGUCAAGUCGCUAUUAAUCAAUUCCAGUCAA